rnacentral:lncRNA from 1 species
GCAGCAUUUCUGGAAAAUAGCAAUUAUUAAACUUGCUUAUGUGUUUGGAAAUAAAAUGAUUCCUUGGCUGCUUGAGGUCUCUGAGAAUGUAAAAAUCUUAAAUAAUUUCGUGAAUCUUAAAUUGAACUAGGAGCUCAGACCAAUGUUAUUCAGAAACUUCUAUUAACUUGUAAAAUUAUUACAUUUAAUCCAAUUAAUCCUUUUUAUUUACUGUAAGUUAUUGAUUCUAAACUUUGAACCAAAACAUAAUCAUUUGUUUUCCUGAACAAAUAAUGUGGAAAAUUAGAAUAACAAUCUAAUUUAAAACAAGAGAAAUAGCAACAAAAAAGUACAUCAAUAUUCAUUAAUUGUAAGACAUAGAGAGAUUUGAGUUUUAUACCAAGGACAACAGCCUUGUCCCAGAGAAGAUUUUUUUCUUCUUCUAGUGACGUCAAACGAUGGGACAUUUACAUCACUGUUCCGAU